ensembl:snRNA U4 U4 spliceosomal RNA
AGCUUUGAGCAACAGCAGUACCAAAGCCAAUAAGGUUUUUCUGAGGCAAGAUUUGUUAAUUGGAAACUUUUCCCAAUACUCCCCAAUGACGACCUGAAACGUAGUCAGUAUUGGCAAUUCUUGACACUCUCUAUAGAGA